UACGUAGGGGGGCAAGCGUUGUCCGGAUUUAUUGGGCGUAAAGAGCGUGUAGGCGGUUAGGUAGGUCCGUUGUGAAAACUCGAGGCUCAACCUCGAGACGCCGAUGGAAACCAUCUAACUAGAGUCCGGAAGAGGAGAGUGGAAUUCCGUGGUGUAGCGGUGAAAUGCGCAGAUAUCAGGAAGAACACCCGUGGCUAAGGCGGCUCUCUAGUACGGUACUGACGCUGAGACGCGAAAGCGUGGGGAGCGAACAGG
rnacentral:rRNA from 1 species